GUCUAAAUUAAUUCUUUCUUCCUAUACCUAUAUCCGCGGUUAGAAACGUUAUUCAAGGUCAUCGUUGGUUAAAUCAACUAAAGUAUAAGCACGAAGGUGAAGAGCAAGGCGAGGUCCCUCGCUCAAACAGCGGGGGAAAUUAUUCUCAUAGGAAACGAAUAAUUCGUCCCUGAUGUUUCACGUAUCACUGAUUCCACGGACAAAUAUCUAGCACAUUGCCCAACGUUAAAUAAAUACAAAAACUUAGAUGCUCGGUACUAUUAAUUAUCAACGAUGAGAGACUUAAGCAUGCAAAAUUUAUGUUUAAUAUAAAAACGAAGUUGAAAUUGAUCUUGAAAUGGAAUAUCACAAGACGAGGAUUUCGAGUUUGCGGAGGAGUCACGAGUAGCGGCGAGGCCCGAAACACUUACAAUUGCUUCGAAUCCACGUGUAACGAAAGAUUCGAAUCACUUCGAAUAUGAUUCGAAGCCUGGAUUCUUGAAAGUCUCGAACUCGUGAUUAGUCACGAGUUACCCAAUGCAAGAAAAAAACAGACGCGUCGCGUAUUAUAUUUAAUACCGAGCUAUUAUUAAAGGAUUCAAAGAACGGUUUACCUCUUGGCGAUAGACAACGUUGGGUACAGCGAUAACGAGAGAAUCUUGCGAAAUACAUAUAUAAGUACUUGUCAGAUAGAUGAUAACGAAAUAUGAAAUUUGUUGUUUCGUGGCUGGCAUAUUGAGAACGUAGUUGAGCAAGGGAAACGAGUAAUAUGGAUAAAGAAUAACGAUUGCCUUGAAUAUGUAUAUUUCUAAUAUUGGAUAUGAGUUGGCUCUGCACGGGCGCGUUAAAGUUUAUUAAAUUAAAUAAUUAAAACUAACU
rnacentral:misc_RNA from 1 species